AAAGAGACUCAAUAUGAUGGAUGCGACGAUGCCCAACAAUGGAAUUAACAUCCAAACAAGCAGCACAAUCACAAGAAAUCCGAACGUUGGACCAAAGGUCAUGAUCAUGGAAAGAUUAUCCUUUGCUUUUUGAUGAAACAUUUUCGUGGAGCAAAGAAAGAUAGAAGACUUGGUGAGGUGGAGAAAUUGUUGUUGGAGAUGAUCUCUAUGAUAGUUUAGAUAGGUGAUUGUCUGAAGUAAUUUCAAAGUCUGGAGUCAUAGUGAAAUCAAGGAAAUACAAGUUAUCUAGAGGGGGUGGCCUUUGCUGUUGGACCUUGGACUAGGUUGUUGUGGGUGGACAAUCCCACCUAUUCUAGCUACAAAUACAUGACAUUUGAGUAAGUUGUUUUCUCUUGCAGGUUGGAAGUGUCCUGUUUCUGUUUUUAGCUUUUUUGGUUUUCUCUUUAGCUGUUAUAAGCCACAAGCAACUUAGAAGAAGCUUCAAUUAUUUACUAAGGCAAUGUCUUUGGUUGCUAAUACAUAAAGCUCAAGUCUAAGUCAUUAUCUUUAUCACAGUAUACAGUUGAGUUCCAGUUGAUUUAUUAUUCUGAUUUAACUUUGUUGUUGUUUUAUUACUUAUUAUAGCUAUGGUAUUCUUGAUAAAUCUUCUCUCAUUGGACUCUGUUGUGAAGGUUGCUGAUGCAUGGAACGCAUGCUUCUGGCCCCUACAUGUUCUCAUUAAUAAUGCUUGAAUUUAUUCCAUUGGAGGUCAAUAUUUCUGAUUUAUUAAAUAUGAUACUGAAUUUUAUUUGUUAAUGAUGUUCAAUACUUUCAACAGUUAAAUAUUGUUCAGAGAAUACAAUCGAUUUGUUACUUAUAACAGCUGUUAAGAGAAUUAUAGCAAUUAAAAGAAUGUAGGUAAAAAGACCAGUUGAAUAUUUGUUAAUAUUGUUAAGAGAAUACAAUUGAUUUGUUACUUAUAACUUUUCUACAAUUGAUUUCUUAAGGGGAAGUAUGUUAUCUUUCAGGUUAAUUUUGAAAUGAAUGCAAUUCAAGUACCUUUAAUGAUGCUUCACGUAUAACUAGAAGCCUUCAAUCUGCAAAGAACACUCAUUCUAAUCAUGAACCACAAGUCAGUGAAAAUGGACUGCAAUCUUUACCUAUAGUUUUGAAACCUGAUUUGAUUAAUGGUGCUAAUUAUUUUGAGGAUGAAUCAUGGGAAUUUAAGGCUACCUUUUGCAAAGCAAAGAGCAAAUAUCAGGGAUCUGUUAUAGAUCACAAGGAAUUUCCUCUGCAGUCGAAAACAAAAUUAAAGCCACCUGAUUUUGUAGAUUUCUAUUGCAAAUUGACUGAUGAAUUGUGGAAUGCUGUCCUAUUCCAUCUCCAGAAUCUCAAGGUGGGCCCUUUGUGAAAUCAAAUGCAGAAAAGCAAAGAGUUAUGUGGUGUCUCAAAAUUGCAGUUGAGAAACGAGCAUCUAAGGUGGAAGGCCUUAAGUGUGAUUGAAAUGCUGUUGUUGAACUUUAGGUGCUAUGGCCUCAAAUGAAGUCUACGUUAGAUGCCACUUUCUCUUGGGAACAAGAAAACAACAACAACAACAACAACAACAAUAACAACAAGCUUUUAUCCCACUAGGUGGGGUCGGCUAUAUGGAUUGUACCAUUGUGCUUUACAACUUUUGUUGUGCCAUCAGAGUUUUUUGAGAUCAACCAUUUAAGGAGAUUUUUUUUUUUUUUAAUUACCAGAAGGAGAUGGAGUUUAAGCGGGGAGGGCUUAUUUGCUAAAAGUUUAUAUUAGCCAUGAUGUUAAGCUUAAUGUAUUUAAAUUAAAAUGAUUUCGUUUUUUUUUUUUGGAAAUUCAUGUACACUUUUUUUUUUAAAUAAUUCAUGUAAACUUUUAAUGUUUGUGAUAAUCUUUUACUUUAUGUAGGCAAAAUGCACGUGCCACAUCGAUUUUUACAUGGGGAUUUAAUCCAUUUAAUAUAAGUAGUUAUGAUUUCGUCUUUCCUGGAGUAGUGUUCAUUGAUUAGACAAGUUGUUAUUUAAAUGAAGUUUAAACAAAGA